rnacentral:rRNA from 1 species
CGGAUGGAAGCAAUAAACCUUAGCGGCGGACGGGUGAGUAACGCGUGGGUAACCUGCCUCAUACAGGGGGAUAACAGUUAGAAAUGACUGCUAAAACCGCAUAAGCGCACAUUGUCGAGUGACAGAGUGUGAAAAACUCCGGUGGUAUGAGAUGGACCCGCGUCUGAUUAGCUAGUUGGUGAGGUAACGGCCCACCAAGGCGACGAUCAGUAGCCGGCCUGAGAGGGCGACCGGCCACAUUGGGACUGAGACACGGCCCAAACUCCUACGGGAGGCAGCAGUGGGGAAUAUUGCACAAUGGGGGAAACCCUGAUGCAGCGACGCCGCGUGAGUGAAGAAGUAUUUCGGUAUGUAAAGCUCUAUCAGCAGGGAAGAAGAAAGACGGUACCUGACUAAGAAGCCCCGGCUAACUACGUGCCAGCAGCCGCGGUAAUACGUAGGGGGCAAGCGUUAUCCGGAUUUACUGGGUGUAAAGGGAGCGUAGACGGCUGUGCAAGUCUGAAGUGAAAGCCCAGGGCUCAACCCUGGGACUGCUUUGGAAACUGUGGAGCUAGAGUGCUGGAGAGGUAAGUGGAAUUCCUAGUGUAGCGGUGAAAUGCGUAGAUAUUAGGAGGAACACCAGUGGCGAAGGCGGCUUACUGGACAGUAACUGACGUUGAGGCUCGAAAGCGUGGGGAGCAAACAGGAUUAGAUACCCUGGUAGUCCACGCGGUAAACGAUGAAUACUAGGUGUUGGAGAGCAAAGCUUUUCGGUGCCGUCGCAAACGCAAUAAGUAUUCCACCUGGGGAGUACGUUCGCAAGAACGAAACUCAAAGGAAUUGACGGGGACCCGCACAAGCGGUGGAGCAUGUGGUUUAAUUCGAAAGCACGCGAAGAACCUUACCAAGUCUUGAC